rnacentral:rRNA from 1 species
CCCUUAGAUGUUCUGGGCCGCACGCGUGCUACACUGAGUGGAUCAGCGGGUCAGGUUGCGCGAAAGCGUUUCCUAAUCUUUAAAUCCGCUCGUGAUGGGGAUUGACGGUUGCAAUUUUCUGUCAUGAACGAGGAAUACCUUGUACGCGCGGGUCAUCAUCCCGCGCUGAAUACGUCCCUGCCCUUUGUACACACCGCCCGUCGCUCCUACCGAUUGAGUGGUCCGGUGAGGCUUUGGGAUCUGAGCGGAAAGAGCGUUUCGCUGUUUCUGCUCGGAAAACUCAGUCGAACCUUAUCAUUUAGAGGAAGGAGAAGUCGUAACA